rnacentral:tRNA from 1 species
GCCUGGGUGGCUCAGUCAGUUAAGCAUCUGACUUCAAUUCAGGUCAUGAUCUCACGGUUUGCGGGUUCGAGCCCUGCGUUGGGCU